rnacentral:rRNA from 1 species
AGAACGAACGCUGGCGGCAGGCCUCAAACAUGCAAGUCUAGGGGGGUAGCAAUACCCACCGGCGGACGGGUGCGUAACGCGUGGGAAUAUACCUUUCGGUACGGAACAACUGCGGGAAACUGCAGCUAAUACCGUAUACGUCCUAACGGAGAAAGAUUUAUCGCCGAAGGAUUAGCCCGCGUCCGAUUAGCUAGUUGGUGAGGUAAUGGCUCACCAAGGCUCCGAUCGGUAGCUGUUCUGAGAGGAAGAUCAGCCACACUGGGACUGAGACACGGCCCAGACUCCUACGGGAGGCAGCAGUUGGGAAUCUUGGACAUGGGGAAACCCUGAUCCAGCCAUGCCGCGUGAGUGAUGAAGGCCUUCGGGUUGUAAAACUCUUUCGACGGGGACGAUAAUGACGGUACCGUAGAAGAAGCUCCGGCUAACUUCGUGCCAGCAGCCGC